rnacentral:misc_RNA from 1 species
CAGAGUUAUUUACAACUCCCCAACCCCUGUGAACAUACCUAUCGUUGCCUCGGCGGACCGCCCCGGGAGGACGGGCCUUGACGGGCCCACCCGCCCCGGACCCAGGCGCCCGCCGGAGGACCAAACAACUCUUGUAUUUUAUAAGGAUCUUCUGAGUCUUCAUAUACAAAUGAAUCA